ensembl:lncRNA
AUGUGCUUAAAGUUUUUUUUUUUUUUUUUUCUCUCUAUUUAUAUAUUUUUUAUUUAUAAAAAAUGUAAUGCAUAUUUUAUAAAAAAAAGGAAUCUUCAAAAAUUGUUUUUUGUUAAUCCUUACAUAAUAAAUAGUUUUAAAAAAAAUGAUAAACAAAUAACACAAUUGUUAUAUGAUAAAAAAAAAUAUUACAAACUCAGUUUAUUACCAAAUGACACAUUUAAUAAAAAUGUAAAAAAUAUAUAUAUUUUUUAUAAAAAAAAAAAAAAUCAACAUGUAAUUAGUCAGGAUAGGGUAAAAUGUUUUUUUUCAAGUAGCGGUGGAUAUGGGUAUGUAGGUGAGUUUUUAUAUAAAAAUGUAAAACUUUGUGAAGAUAAAAAACAAAACAAAUUAAAAAAAAAAAAUAACAUAUUGAGUAGAAACAUAUUUUUAUGUAGUAAACAAUUUUGGAAAGGUAGACAAGCUUUGCAAUACAAUUACCGCUUACAUAAUAAAUUAUUUUUAUCCGUUUUUGAUAAUAUAUUUAACGAAAAUUUUAAUGAAAAUGAUAGAAUAACAAAAAAUGAAUUAGUUUCCAUUUUAGCUUGUAUUUGUACAAAUAUUGUUAUAAAUUAUUUAAAACUGAAAGCAGAAAAAAAAGUCGAGGAUUUUGAUUAUACUUUUGAUUAUAGUGUUAUGAACAUUUUAAGUUUAAUAAAUUUUGAAUAUGAUGUUAAUAAAGAAAUUAAAAAAAAAAAAGUGAAAGAAAAAAAACAUAAGUAUAAAAACAGUGAUAAAAAAAUGAAUAAACAACAAGUUAUGAUAGGUAACAAUAGUCAUAGUAAUAGUCAUAGUAAUAGUCAUAGUCAUAGUAAUAGUAAUAGUCAUAGUAAUAGUAAUAGUAAUAGUCAUAGUAAUAGUAAUAGUUAUAAUAAUAGUAAUAGCAAUAAUAAUAGUAGUAGCAGUAUUAGUAGUAGUAGCAGUAUUAGUAGUAGUAGCAGUAUUAGUAGUAGUAGCAGUAAUAGUAGUAGUAAUAGUAGCAGUAGUAUAACAUGUAGUGAUGACAUAUUAAUAAAUAACAAUAUAUAUAAGGAAAUUCUAAGUUCAGAUAAACAAAUGAUAUAUAAAAAUAAUUACAAAUUAUUUAAUAAUGAUACAUUUUUAAAAAAUGAUUAUAUUUCAUUUAAUUUAGGAUUGUAUAUAAAUAACAAAAAUAAAAUUAUUAAUUAUGAAAGUUUAAUCAACAAAUUAAAAUUGUUUAAUUGUACGUUAAGUGAUAAUAUAUUAUAUUAUUUAAAAAAAAAAAAAAAAUAUAUAGAUUUUUUAACGUUUAAUGAAUUUAUAAAAAUGUACAUAUAUAAUGAAAAAGAUGAAUUUGUAAAUAUGACAAAUAUAUUAAAAAAAUGUAAAUUUGAAAGUAGAUAUCAUUCGAUAUAUUACAAUCUUAAUAAUAGUAAUUUAAAAAAAAUAAAAAAAAAAAAAAAAAUUUCAGACUAUUUUAUUCUUACGAUUACACACUAGAUAAGGAAAAAAACUGCUAUUUAGCUGGUAAAAAGCGUAACUAUAUUAUAUUUGGUGAUGGAUCUGGUGAUGGAUCUGGUGAUGGAUCUGGUGAUGGAUCUGGUGAUAGAUUUGGUGAUAGAUUUGGUGAUGGAUUUGGUGAUAGAUUUGGAGAAAAUAUUACCAAUAGUGUUUUUGACAGUAGUAACAAAAACAACAGUACUAAUUAUAAUUUAAACUCAGUAAAACAAAAAGAAGAUUUUAUUUAUAUGGAUGACAAAGAGUUACAAAAAAAGAAAAAGAUGAAUAUAGUUAAUGAAAGAAAGUUAAAAAAAAAAGGGGAAAAAAAAAAAAAAAAUUUGCCUGAUGGUCAUAAUCACAAUUAUAAUUAUGAAGAAUUGUUACAACAUGAAGAUAAAGAAAUAGAUAAAAAAAUAGAUCAAGAAUUAUUAUAUUUUGAUAAAAUUGAUACUAUUAUUGAGUCACAAAUAGAAACAAAUGAAACUUGUAAGAACUAUGUGCAUAAUAAUUCAUAUAAUAAUUUAAAAACAGCAAAUAAUGGUC